rnacentral:rRNA from 1 species
GACAGAGGUGCCGAGCGUUUUAGGCGGAAUCACUGGGCUUAAAGCGUGUGUAGGCGGACUUCUAAGUACCUUGUGAAAUCCCACGGCUCAACCGUGGAACUGCUUGGUAUACUGGUCGUCUUGAGCCAUCUAGGGGCUGUCGGAACAAAUGGUGGAGCGGGUGAAAUGCGUAGAUAUCAUUUGGAACGCCAAAGGUGAAAACAGACAGCUGGGGAUGUGCUGACGUGAGACACGAAAGCCAGGGGAGCGAACGGG